rnacentral:rRNA from 1 species
GGUGAGUAACGCGUGGGAAUCUACCUUUUGCUACGGAAUAACGCAGGGAAACUUGUGCUAAUACCGUAUGUGUCCUUCGGGAGAAAGAUUUAUCGGCAAGAGAUGAGCCCGCGUUGGAUUAGCUAGUUGGUGGGGUAAAGGCCUACCAAGGCGACGAUCCAUAGCUGGUCUGAGAGGAUGAUCAGCCACAUUGGGACUGAGACACGGCCCAAACUCCUACGGGAGGCAGCAGUGGGGAAUAUUGGACAAUGGGCGCAAGCCUGAUCCAGCCAUGCCGCGUGAGUGAUGAAGGCCCUACGGUUGUAAAGCUCUUUCACCGGAGAAGAUAAUGACGGUAUCCGG